rnacentral:rRNA from 1 species
UCCAGAGAUGGACUGGUGCCUUCGGGAACUGUGAGACAGGUGCUGCAUGGCUGUCGUCAGCUCGUGUUGUGAAAUGUUGGGUUAAGUCCCGCAACGAGCGCAACCCUUAUCCUUUGUUGCCAGCGGUUAGGCCGGGAACUCAAAGGAGACUGCCAGUGAUAAACUGGAGGAAGGUGGGGAUGACGUCAAGUCAUCAUGGCCCUUACGACCAGGGCUACACACGUGCUACAAUGGCGCAUACAAAGAGAAGCGACCUCGCGAGAGCAAGCGGACCUCAUAAAGUGCGUCGUAGUCCGGAUUGGAGUCUGCAACUCGACUCCAUGAAGUCGGAAUCGCUAGUAAUCGUGGAUCAGAAUGCCACGGUGAAUACGUUCCCGGGCCUUGUACACACCGCCCGUCACACCAUGGGAGUGGGUUGCAAAAGAAGUAGGUAGCUUAACCUUCGGGAGGGCGCUUACCACUUUGUGAUUCAUGACUGGGGUGAAGUCGUAACAAGGUAACCGUAGGGGAACCUGCGGUUGGAUCACCUCCUUACCUUAAAGAA